UCCCACCUGACCCCAUGCCGAACUCAGAAGUGAAACGCCGUAGCGCCGAUGGUAGUGUGGGGUCUCCCCAUGCAAGAGUAGGGAACUGCCAGGC
rnacentral:rRNA from 1 species